UACGUAGGGGGCAAGCGUUGUCCGGAAUCAUUGGGCGUAAAGCGCGUGUAGGCGGUUCGGUAAGUCGGCUGUGAAAGUCCAGGGCUCAACCCUGGGAUGCCGGUCGAUACUGCCGGACUAGAGUUCGGAAGAGGCGAGUGGAAUUCCCGGUGUAGCGGUGAAAUGCGCAGAUAUCGGGAGGAACACCAAUGGCGAAGGCGGCCAUCUGGACCGGAACUGACGCUGAGGCGCGAAAGCCAGGGGAGCGAAUGGG
rnacentral:rRNA from 1 species